UACGUAGGUGGCAAGCGUUAUCCGGAUUUACUGGGUGUAAAGGGCGUGUAGGCGGGAAAGCAAGUCAGAUGUGAAAACCAUGGGCUCAACCUGUGGCCUGCAUUUGAAACUGUUUUUCUUGAGUACUGGAGAGGCAGACGGAAUUCCUAGUGAAGCGGUGAAAUGCGUAGAUAUUAGGAGGAACACCAGUGGCGAAGGCGGUCUGCUGGACAGCAACUGACGCUGAGGCGCGAAAGCGUGGGGAGCAGACAGG
rnacentral:rRNA from 1 species